rnacentral:rRNA from 1 species
UACGAAGGGGGCUAGCGUUGUUCGGAAUCACUGGGCGUAAAGGGCGCGUAGGCGGCCGCUCAAGUCGGGGGUGAAAGCCUGUGGCUUAACCACAGAAUUGCCUUCGAUACUGUUUGGCUUGAGACCGGAAGAGGUGAGUGGGACUGCGAGUGUAGAGGUGAAAUUCGUAGAUAUUCGCAAGAACACCAGUGGCGAAGGCGGCUCACUGGUCCGGUUCUGACGCUGAGGCGCGAAAGCGUGGGGAGCAAACAGG